UGGCAGCAGACGGCUGUGUUCUGCGUCCGGGGCGAAGGCCAGGCGGGCGGUGGCUAGCCCUGAUGGCGCCGGGGUCGCACCGCGGCACCGUAGCCGCUUAGUGUCCGUCCAUCCGACCGAUUACCGGUGUCAAGUAUCACCGAGAUGUGUCAGACCCAGAUCCCCAGGGUUCUCCUGGGAUUCCUGGAGCCUCUGGGGACAGUCCUGUGGCAGAGGGGUCCAAGUUCCAGAAGGCUGUGAUCACAUCAGCCACAGGUAGAUGGACAUCCUACCUGGCUGUAGCCCUCAGAAUCAAGGUAGCUUAGGAAAGCACAAGACUGGGACACCAGGCCCAAGUCCUGCCAAUGCCUCUAUGGGCAGUCACAGCCCUUCCUAGAGCUCUGGUGGCUGCUUCUGCCUGCUUCUUGAAGGGGACAUGGAGAAGACAGAGCACUAUUCCCUCCCCGACUCAUCUGACAGGAGGCCUAGGGCCCUGGCCACAUACCUGCUGAGACAAGAGUGUGUUUCCCUUGCAUCUUCACCCCGGGUCCAGAACAACCAGGCAACGGGAGGAAAUGGACCCUAAUGCCAGGAUGUCUAAGGUUGCUGAGCCCC
rnacentral:lncRNA from 1 species